CUUUACCUGAAUAUUGAAAUUUGACAAUUUCACUGUGACUAAAACGUUAAGAUUACUCUGAGCUCUUCACAUACAGAGUUAUUUUGGUGUGGCUUACUGGAGGUUCACUUUAGACCCCAAUACUGAGGAUCAAAUCACUCAGAUGACUCAUUCACAAACAAACUGGCUAUAUCUAAAAAUUAUUAAAUGAAUGGGGUUUUAAGUUGU
rnacentral:lncRNA from 1 species